AAGUCGUAACAAGGUUUUCGUAGGUGAACCUGCGGAAGGAUCAUUAGUGAGACGACGGAUUCCUCUGCAAAGAGAAGGUCCGAUCCACUAUCACACACACUUGUGCACUUGUCAUUUUUACAAAUUCUAUUUGUAUUACAACUUUUGCAUUGAAACAGUUGAUUGUACAAACUUAAACGAAAGAAAAA
rnacentral:misc_RNA from 1 species